AGUGAACGCUGGCGGUAGGCCUAACACAUGCAAGUCGAACGGCAGCACAGUAAGAGCUUGCUCUUACGGGUGGCGAGUGGCGGACGGGUGGGGAAUACAUCGGAAUCUACUUUUUCGUGGGGGAUAACGUAGGGAAACUUACGCUAAUACCGCAUACGACCUACGGGUGAAAGCAGGGGAUCUUCGGACCUUGCGCGAUUGAAUGAGCCGAUGUCGGAUUAGCUAGUUGGCGGGGUAAAGGCCCACCAAGGCGACGAUCCGUAGCUGGUCUGAGAGGAUGAUCAGCCACACUGGAACUGAGACACGGUCCAGACUCCUACGGGAGGCAGCAGUGGGGAAUAUUGGACAAUGGGCGCAAGCCUGAUCCAGCCAUACCGCGUGGGUGAAGAAGGCCUUCGGGUUGUAAAGCCCUUUUGUUGGGAAAGAAAAGCAGCAGGUUAAGACCCCGCUGUUCUGACGGUACCCAAAGAAGAAGCACCGGCUAACUUCGU
rnacentral:rRNA from 1 species